rnacentral:rRNA from 1 species
GACGAACGCUGGCGGCGUGCUUAACACAUGCAAGUCGAACGGAAAGGCCCUGCUUUUGUGGGGUGCUCGAGUGGCGAACGGGUGAGUAACACGUGAGUAACCUGCCCUUGACUUUGGGAUAACUUCAGGAAACUGGGGCUAAUACCGGAUAGGAGCUCCUGCUGCAUGGUGGGGGUUGGAAAGUUUCGGCGGUUGGGGAUGGACUCGCGGCUUAUCAGCUUGUUGGUGGGGUAGUGGCUUACCAAGGCUUUGACGGGUAGCCGGCCUGAGAGGGUGACCGGCCACAUUGGGACUGAGAUACGGCCCAGCCGCCUACGGGAGGCAGCAGUGGGGAAUAUUGCACAAUGGGCGGAAGCCUGAUGCAGCAACGCCGCGUGCGGGAUGACGGCCUUCGGGUGGUAAACCGCUUUCGCCUGUGACGAAGCGUGAGUGACGGUAAUGGGUAAAGAAGCACCGGCUAACUACGU